GUGGGGAAUAUUGGACAAUGGGGGCAACCCUGAUCCAGCCAUGCCGCGUGAAUGAUGAAGGCCUUCGGGUUGUAAAGUUCUUUUGGAGGGGACGAUGAUGACGGUACCCUCAGAAUAAGCUCCGGCUAACUUCGUGCCAGCAGCCGCGGUAAUACGAAGGGAGCUAGCGUUGUUCGGAAUUACUGGGCGUAAAGGGCGCGUAGGCGGUUUGGUUAGUCAGAUGUGAAAGCCCAGGGCUUAACCCUGGAACUGCGUUUGAUACUGCCAAGCUUGAAUUCGGGAGAGGUGAGUGGAAUUCCCAGUGUAGAGGUGAAAUUCGUAGAUAUUGGGAAGAACACCGGUGGCGAAGGCGGCUCACUGGACCGACAUUGACGCUGAGGCGCGAAAGCGUGGGGAGCAAACAGGAUUAGAAACCCCUGUAGUCC
rnacentral:rRNA from 1 species